rnacentral:rRNA from 11 species
UCUAGUAGUGAUAAAUAUCCUACAGGCACCAGAUCCCAGCUGAUUUUGGGAGCUAAACAGGGUCAUCUCUUAUUAAUGCUUGGAUGGGAGAUCCAGUGAAUACCAGGAACUGUAAGCU